GCCGGGUGUGGUGGUGCACACCUGUAAUCCCAGCUACUUGGGAGGCUGAGACUGGAGAAUUGCUUGAACUCAGGAGGCCGAGGUUGAGUCACUGCACUUCAGCCUGGGUGACAGAGCGAGACUCUGUCUCAA
ensembl:misc_RNA Metazoa_SRP Metazoan signal recognition particle RNA